UUAGUUCCUAUGACAUCUUUCUCUAUGGAGUAUGUCUUAGAAACCAUUCAAUAGGUGAUACAGGACUGGCCCUUUCCUUGUAGCCCUUGUAUCCCAUUUAACUGACCCACAGCCCAUCAAUGGAAUUUUAGGUUGUUUCCAAUCUUUUGUCAUUACAGCCAAACCUAUAGUGAAUAAUCUUGUCCGAGUGUGUUUUUUCUUGUAUCGGUGGAAUUGUUUCCUAGAAAUGGUAUUGCUGACUCAAAAGAUCUGGGCAAGUUUGACAGAUAGUGACAGAAGCUGCACCAAUGUGACACUCCCUCCCAGGAGGUUCCCCAGUGUGUUCAUCAACACCUCAGGCAACCAGAUUCUUGAUCGUUACCAGCCUGAUAAGAGGAAGAGAAAAGCAGAUUUCACUAGAGUUCUAAUGUGCAUCUUAUUUUAAGAAAGGUGGAGCCUUCUGUCAGAUAUUUGAGAACCACUUUAAAUUUUAUUAUCUGUCAACUGACAGCUCUGGAGCAGCUACAAAAGGAAUCUGGUUUCACUCUUUGAGCUUAAUGGGUUAUUUACUCUGCUCAGAUGUCACAAGAACAUUCUCAGAUCCUUCCUUCAUUCAAGGUAUGGGGCUUCAAGACCUUGGCAAAUGCAGGCUGUUCAUCAGAGAACAAGAAGGAUUAUGCUCAUCAACCCUUGAUAUAAAUAAACUAAACAAAGAAAAAUUGUAGGUCUAGCUAUAAGUUAAAACAAUCAAGACUUUUUUCUUUUUACAAUUUUUUCUGUUUUCCAGGUUUUCUGUAUUGUGUAUUACUAUUGUGUAAUGCACUGCCUUAUUUUGACCUUUGGGAGCUUUUUGACUUUUUUUUUUUUUUCUGAGAAAGGAUCUCACUAUGUCCAUCAGUCUUUAAAUUCAUGGCAAUUCUGCUUCAGUGUCCCAGGAUUAUAGGCAUGAGCCAUCACCCAGCUACCUUUAAACUCCCAUAAAGUCGUUACAUGGCUCCUAGGUAUUGAAUAAUGCUAGAAAUUCUGACUGUUUGCUUUGUUCCCUGUAGUAGUUUGAGUAAGAAUGACCCCCAUUAUAAUUAAAUGCCAGGGAGUGGCACUAUUUGAGAAGGAUUAGGAGGUGUGGCCUUGUUGGAAUAAGUGUGGCUUUGUUAGAAGAGGUGUGUCCCUGGAAGUGGACUUCAAGGUUUCAAAAGCUCAUAACAGGCCCAGUGUUCUGCUCUGAGUUCAUGAAACAGGGUGUUGUUCUCAGCUACUUACACCUUCUUGCCAUGAUGAUAAUGGACUAAGUUUCUGAAGCUGUAAGGAAGUUUCCAACUAAACACUAUUUUUCGUAAGAGUUGCCUUGGCCACGACACAGCAACAGAACACUAAGACAGUCUCCCUCUCAAAUAUCAUCAGUGUGUUCCUAAUGACUCCCCAUUGCUAGCCCCUAUAAAAGCUUGUGUGGUCUACAUGUACUUCAAGUAGCAUCUGUGAAGCUCCUGAUCCUGACCACUCCUUAAUGCUAGUUCUUUGCUUUCUCUCCCCCACCCCCCUCUGAUGCCUCUCUGUCCUCUUUGUAGAUGUACCUCAGGCCACUGUCCCAGCUGAGUCUCCUAGGAGGUCACAUUUUAGAGGUCUCACUAUGCCUCUGUACACCUUUCUGAGGAAGCUGUGGUUAGAAACUGAGCCUAUCAGGUGGGAACUCAGAGCAUUAAAAUUGUUAAAGAACACACCAAAGUGCGCCAUCUAGAAAAGACAGAGCACAGGUUGGAAGCUAGGAUGCCGUGACCUUAACUGCUAUGCAGAAAUAAGCUCUCGUCAGUGUGUAGACCAGGGGCCAGGAAUGUAUGUAAAGCCACUUACAGAUGAGCUGCCUCUCCACUAUCUAUAGACAGCAGAGUUCUUGUCUCUGAACCUUUAAUUCAGCCCGUAUUCCCUAAGAUUGGGUUUGAAAAGAGGAGUUGUAGUAUCUGGUAGAAAAGGCUGUGAAAGGAAACAUGGAGACACUAACUCAGACACUGUAAAUCUUUAAUUGAAUUUGAUUUAAAUUUCAGACAGCAGCACUGACUACAGGCCUUGAUUUUGACUUCAGGGGACUUUUAGUGAUUCAACUUGAUUUGCAUAUUUUUUUCUGCUUUAAAGCCAAAAAAUACUUUAGCAAGACAUACGUUAAAGCCCUGUAAGUUGCUUCUCCUGAUGGGAAGGCCCAUUCAUUUCCAAAAAGUGAACUAUGCUUCUGUUUAGGGAGCUAUUAACAUUGAAGGCUAGAAUCUCCUGAGAGCCUAUGAUUCAAUCCAUUGGAAUUAAUAAUGACAGAGAAUGCCUUAGAUUGAAAAACAAUUGCAUUCCCUUGGGGAGGGAAAACUUCAACCAGAAAGGAAUCUAAUGGCUGAAAGAUUGGUGGCAAUGCCUUUGCAGCUGGCUGUACUCUUUGGAGGAAAAACAUUGUUAAUUCCAGUUCUUUGGGGCUUCUUUCCCUAUGUAAUCCAUCCAUAUCAGUUAGCAUGGCUUUUGCUUUUAUAAAUAAUAUAUGAUAUAUUGCGUCUUGCCAUUUAUUCAACCAGUUCUCCUCUUUGCUUCUGUCAGCAAAGUUAAAGGAAAUAUUUGAGCAUAUACUCUUUACUAUUAUGAGUCCAGAGGUCAUUUUGCUAGCAAUUAAAGAUAGACACCAACAGUGGUUAGUUCCUUCCCUUUUCAGCCUAGUUAGCACCGCUGCUACUGACUGCAAGAAGUAGAACAGACAAUGUUGACAACAGGCUAGAAGAAAAGGAGAGACAGACCUAAAGGAGAGCUAGAAACCCAAGCCCAGGUGAGAUGUCCCCACUCUCUAUACAUCUCCAUGUGUAGAGAUUAUGUUGUGGCAUUACAACGAUUUCUUAUUCAUUUCUCUGCUAGACUAAGUGCUUUGCAAGAGUAAGAAACUGUUCUCUUGUUCAUCUUCAUCCUCCCACACCUGGCCCAUUGCCAGCUUGGUCCAUAGCCAGCAAACGUUUGUUAAGCCCUUCUAGUCAUAUAUAAAUCAUUCAUGUUUUAUAGACAGGUAACUCAAAUUCAGAAAAGUCACUGGGAUCAUACAAGUAGAAGGCAGCAAAGCAGAAUUCGAAUCCAAGAUUGCCAGGUUCUUAAAACUAGACUUGUAGGAAAACUUCUAGAAGAUUCAAACUCAAUAAGAAGCAAUUUUCCCACUGACAAUAAAUUUACUCAAACAAAAGAAUUCUGACUCUUUAGCACUGCAAAUCUGUAAUGCUUGGGAGUAGAUGUGCAAGGGAGCCUUCUCUCAUGGUCUUUGGCUACGGUGAAAAUUUAAGCAUUCUUUUCUACCCAAAUUCCCUCAGAUAUAGAUUUCAAAACAAACAAAGC
rnacentral:lncRNA from 1 species